UGCCUAACACAUGCAAGUCGUACGAGUAGUUUUUAACUCAAGUGGCGGACGGGUGAGUAACACGUGAGAAUUUACCUUUAGGAGGGGGAUAACAGAGUGAAAACGCUGCUAAUACCCCAUAUGCUCUUCGAGCUGAAAUGGAUUUAUUCGCCUAAAGAGAAGCUCGCGGCCUGAUUAGCUUGUUGGUAAGGUAAUGGCCUACCAAGGCGACGAUCAGUAUCUGGUUUGAGAGGACGAUCAGACACACUGGAACUGAGACACGGUCCAGACUCCUACGGGAGGCAGCAGUGGGGAAUUUUCCGCAAUGGGCGAAAGCCUGACGGAGCAAUACCGCGUGAGGGAUGACGGCCUAUGGGUUGUAAACCUCUUUUCUCAGGGAGGAAUUCAAUGACGUUACCUGAGGAAUAAGCAUCGGCUAACUCCGUGCCAGCAGCCGCGGUAAGACGGAGGAUGCAAGUGUUAUCCGGAAUCACUGGGCGUAAAGCGUCUGUAGGUGGCUUAACAAGUCAACUGUUAAAUCUUGAAGCUCAACUUCGAAAUCGCAGUCGAAACUGUUAGGCUAGAGUAUAGUAGGG
rnacentral:rRNA from 1 species